CUAGUGUUAAAAUUCAGCCACGAAGCAUGUACUUCGGAACGACAACUCUUAGUUGAUUUGCUUAUGCCAUUUUAUACUACUAGUUAGAUAACUCUAGUCACUGUGAAGUAACUUAGCUAGCUAACAUUAGUUUUGCACCCCCAAGCUAGCCUAAUAUUAGCUAGCCAUAACCAUUCCCUUGCAUUAGGACAACGAAUUUGCUGACCUCCUUCGGGGGAUUUGGCAGCAGCACCUGUACAACCACAGAAAAUGAGGUGGAGAGAGGGGGAUAUGGAUGGAAACAUGCUGUGCCAGAGGCCAAGAGUCACAUGGAAUCAAUCCAGACAUGGUUAGUGUUUUAUAUUCUCGAUAUUUUAAAUGUUUAAAUUGUUUCAGUCCUUUCAUGUUAGUGCAGGCCAUUGCCGGGGAUUGCAUGUAUCACUGUAAAUCUACUACAGUUCUAUGGGGUUUUAAACAAAUUAACCAUUCUAUUCUGCAUAGUCCCCACAGAUUUGGGUUCAGGCUGACCGCAGAAAUGAAAUGUGCCCACAAAUAUGUAAAUAAUAAUAAUUUUGGUACAUUGUCUUAAAAAACCACAAAAUGUGUGUUCAUUAUUUUUCAAGAUUUCAAGCUUAAUUACACCAGGUCAGACCAAUGUGUACUCAUCUUUGAUAACAUCUUAAAUCUUGAAAAAUAAGGAAAUGCUUUUUGGUCCUAGCAUGAAUUAGCUGACAUGAGUAGUAUGAAAAAUGUUUUGGUAGAGGUGAUCUUUGGUGUAGGAACCUCUUUUCAAAAACUGAAGCAUACAUUUGAUGUUGAAGAUUCAAAAGAAGAGAAAAAGAAAAACUGUACAAUUAUGUUCUCUAUUUCUCAACAAAUAUUAGUCAGUCAGUCAUUAGUCUGACUCAAAACAUCAUCUGUGAAUGUAGACUGUGUACAGGUAUUCUGAAAACAAAUGUAAGGAUUAUAUAUAUAAAUGCUGCUUUAAAAGUUGUUUUUUGGAUUACAGUUGAACACCGUUGUAAGACUGAUGCCCCUCUCACCCUAAUUUAACGGUGACCUUUGCUUCAGAGACGGUCUCUGCUGAUAUGUAGUUUAUUAUAUACAGUAUUUACUGCAUAUAAUGUCUUGUACUCUGUAUCUGCAAAGUCAACUCUUGGACUAAAAAAAAGUCUCCAAAACAAGCUUUAUGAGGAUACGUGAAUUGAUCUGAAUUAAUCAUUAAUUUUUAGUGUCUCUUGAUUUUUUUUCUUUUUUUGAGAUAUGAGGUUUUGAAGCUGUUGAUCAGGAAUUGCCAACCCAUCAUUCACAAGUUUAUCUAUCACUAGUUUAUCUGUUACAAUGUGAAUUCCAUGUCUUUGGCUAGAUUGUAUGCCAGUGAUCAAACAGUGGGCAAAAAAAUCUUGGGCCUCUUAUAGCCACUCCAUGUAUUUCUUUUUCAAUUGUAAUAUAAUGUCUUCUGCAAGAUCUGCAGCACUCCUUGAGUGGCUCUGAUGAUAAGUUAGAAGAAGCAGCAGCAGACCAAAGAGCUCCUCUGGCUCCCUAGGAUUGGAGCACUUGUAAUGCUCACUUUUCUGAGAGAUGAAGGGCAAAAAGACCUUGUUAAUAGCAUGCUGGCACAGGGGAACAUGGCAACAAACACCUGCAGCCAGUGUGGGAACAACUGGGCGGCUGUCGGUUGCUGAGGCUGCCUCCUGUGUCCAUUCCUCUGUGCUGAAUACAACAUCAGCAGCCACAACAAAACCUAUGUCCUCCACAACCGGGAUGCCAUGUGUGCUGAUUUCUUCUAGCCAUUGCCUCCAACCAGGUGUGUUGUGGAUAAGGCUCUUACACACUUUGUACAACUUUUGCCUAUUGAGAUGCCUGUCCACAUCUGUGGCUGUCCACCAGAGGCAUCCAGGAUGAUCCAAGGGAGGGCAGUUGCUUUGGUCACAAUAAAUGGAGGCAAUGACAUGCUGACACUUCUGUCCAUAAGAUGGAACCAGCAGAAACCUGGCUAAUUCACUGACCCAGAGAUAACAUAAGACUUUUAAAGCCCUAAAAAUCCAGUUCGAGGACCUGAAAGCCCAGCUUCAACUGGAAUAAAACACUGUGGAAUAGGCAGAUGGAGAAACCGACCAUCAAGGCACGCCACAGGCUUUGUGUCAGAAGAUUGAGGCUCUCAUGACCAACAGCAACAAAGGUCGACAUAGAAUCCAUCGAAUAAAUAAAGCAAUAGAAGACCACUUUGAAGGCCACGGUAGCAGAAUACAACAGCCUCGUUCCAUCCGAGCAAACAGUAUGCAUAGAUCAUAUCCUGGACACAGAACAUCCUUGAUCCUGGCAGAUUACAAACAGUGGUUCUGUUGAUUUCAGCAUGAAAAAGUAAGUCUUCUGUAGGAUCAUGAGUGUUCAUAGGCUUCAAGAGUAGAAGAAGAUCCUUGUGAAAGAGAUGAAGCAUCACUGGGAUUCUCUCAAGGCCCGUGCCAGUGUCUUGUCCAACUUGUCUCUCCGUCAGAAUGAAGACACCCCGCAAAGUAAAUGUGCACUUCUACUUGAAGUUUUUAUAUCAUAUGUUUACAGGGGUUAAAGUGGGAUUUGGCAGGUGGGGGGAACCCUAAGAUCCAGUGUAGCGGUGCAGCAGGGAAAAUUACUAUCACCUCAAAAUAACCAGUGGACUUGUUUUCUUUGUGGACAGGCUAUGUGAUUAGCUGACCUUCUUUUAAGCUCCCAUUUCUUGCUGUGGCUCUGGGCUGUGCUGCUGCUGCUGCUACUCUGGGCUGUGCUGCAUUUGAAUUAACCACAUAACUUCAGCAACACAUAAUGUACAUUUCCACUGUCUGAUUAAAAAAAAAAUCUAAAAUGAAUAACAUUACUUAUGCAAGCUUGAAAUUUUAUCAUUAUCACACAUUAACGUUAAUAAUGUACUUUCUAACUAUCUAAUACUGUCUACUACUAAUACUCAUUCUAAUUUUAGGGUGCUCUUCAUAAUAGCAGCGGGACCAGCGGGAGCAAAUCACGCCCCCCCCUCCCAAACCCACGCUGACAGUGAGAAAGACCAGGAGCGGAGGGCCCUUGUAGGGGUUUCCUGACAGUUGAGGCAAUAAGUCUGCCACAGCUAUCUCCCUGGCCAGCAGGGGGUGUCAGCUACCGUACCGGUAGCUAGCAAUACAGAUGGCCAAGCUGCACAUAAAACAGUUGUAUGUUUGGUGAUAUUUGUUGAGCUUUGUUUGAAACAUUGCAUUUGAAAUUACCCACCACUUAAACCCCUGUAUGUUUCACCAAGUUAUAUUUAAGCUGUAAAAAACUUGCUUACCUGUAUAGUCUCCUUUAGUGGACAUCUAACAGAGAAUGCAAGGGAGGGUCUCACCUGCCUCAUCCACAGAAGGCAGGGGGCAACAAGACAGCUGCAGAGGCGUGCAAGGCGAUUUUACCUGCACAUCCUCAUCAGCAGAUGGCAGUCAUGUUUUGUACAGAACAGAGUUCAGAUGAACUUGAGAUUAGCUCUGAAAGUUCACUCAGAUGUUGAUGCAAUGUAAUGUAAUUUCCCUCAUGUUCUUCACUGCACCUGUGCUAUAAAUGUUUG